GCAUAACCCGGAGAUUUAGCUGUUAUCGCAUGCAACCAAAACAGGCCUGUCACGUAGAGAUAUAAAUAUAAGGUGCGGAAGCUUUCUUUGAUCGGCAUGAUAGCACCUGUAUCAAGAGAGCGAAAAUGUUACGUAGAAUUGUAUUCUGUGUUUUCGUCGCGGGUGGCUUCGCUGCCCUAAACCUUGACGAAGCUAGAGAUGAAAUAGUAUCAAAAGUAUCCAAACUUCGACAUAGAAGGCAGGUGACCCAAAUUGGCUCAGCGGGACUAGCCAGCGCUGUCAGUCAAUUUGCGGGAGCGUUGGGAGGUGGUGGAGGUGGGG